rnacentral:rRNA from 1 species
UACGAAGGGGGGCUAGCGUUGUUCGGAUUUACUGGGCGUAAAGCGCACGUAGGCGGAUCGUUAAGUCGGGGGUGAAAUCCUGGGGCUCAACCCCAGAACUGCCCUUCGAUACUGGCGAUCUAGAGUCCGGAAGAGGUGAGUGGAACUCCUAGUGUAGAGGUGGAAUUCGUAGAUAUUAGGAAGAACACCAGUGGCGAAGGCGGCUCACUGGUCCGGUACUGACGCUGAGGUGCGAAAGCGUGGGGAGCAAACAGGG